UAACCCGCACCACUUAUCGUGGUGGGAGACAGUGUCAGGCGGGCAGUUUGACUGGGGCGGUCGCCUCCUAAAAGGGAACGGAGGCGCUCAAAGGGUCCCUCAGAAUGGUUGGAAAUCAUUCAUAGAGGGUAAAGGCAUAAGGGAGCUUGACUGCGAGACCUACAAGUCGAGCAGGGUCGAAAGACGGACUUAGUGAUCCGGUG
rnacentral:rRNA from 1 species